GGAUUCCUGGAAUAUGCGUUGAGCUAUCAUAAUUGAACCUACACUUACUUAAAGGGAUUCCGGGUGCCUUUGACUUAUGUAAUGCCUCCAUAGAGUGGACUACAGAAUCACUGGCUAAGGAAGUACCCACCUUAUCUUAUUUCGAUAGGGCGUCAAUUAUAAGGCUUGACGGUAUCCCGGGAGUUUU
rnacentral:sRNA from 1 species